UUCGUCAUCACCAACCCCCCUUCAUCGCCAAUUCCAUGAUCCUCCCCACUGGGAGUGAGUAAUUCCUUUGUAGGCUCGCUGGUCGGUUAGGAGUUGGAUGGGAUUCAUCAUGUAGUCGAGUUAGUUUUCUUAGGGCUUGAUCCGUAGUAUCCAUCAUGUUAUGAGAUUGAUGUUUCUAUGACUUUGCUAUGCUUAAUGGUUGUCACUUUUGGCUCAGGCGCCAUGAUUUCAGAUCUGAGCCGUUUAUGUUAUCACCAUUAUACCUAUGUUCUAGAUCUAAUCUUGCAAGUUAUAAUCACCUAUUAUGUAU
rnacentral:lncRNA from 1 species